rnacentral:ncRNA from 1 species
CUUGCUUAAUUAUUUAUUUUAGCAUAAAUCUAUAUGUAAGUUUUUGCAUAAAUUUAUUUUCUUAAUGAGUUUAAGUUUAUAAAAGGCAGUAGAUUAUUUUAUUAAUAUUAAGGUAUUUUAGAUUUAGUUAAUGUUAAAAGGAUUGGUAAAAGCUGUGCCAGCAUCCGCGGUUAUACAGUAAAUUCAAAUAAAUAUUAUUGGUUUUGGAAUAAUUAUUGUUAUUGUGUAUAAUAUAUAAAUUAAGUUAUUUUAAGGUGAAAUUUAAAUAUUUAAUGAAAUAUAUUAAGUAGCGGGAAAUAUUGUUAAAAUAAAAAUAUAAACUAGGAUUAGAUACCCUAUUAUUUUAAUUGUAAAUAAAAAAAAACUGAGGUAUUAAUAGAUAAAUCUUUAAACUUAAAGAAUUUGGCGGUAUUAUAGUCUUUUUAGAGGAAUCUGUUAUGUAAUUGAUAAUCCACGUUGAACCUUACUUAUAUUAAUUCUUGUAUACCGCUGUUUAUGAAUAUAUUAUAAGGUAAUUUUCUGAAAAUUAUAUAAAUUAAUAUUUCAAGUCAAGGUGCAGUAAUAUAUAAGUUGAAUAAUGGAUUACAAUAAAUUUUAUUUAAAAUGGAUGAAUUAUUAAAAUAUAUUUGAAGGUGGAUUUAAAUGUAAUUUUAUAAAGAUUAUUAAAAUGAUUAUUAGCUCUAUAAUAUGUACACAUCGCCCGUCAUUCUCGUUAUUAAAGAUGAGACAAGUCGUAACAAAGUAGGUGUAUCGGAAGAUGUACCUAGAAAGAUUGAAAUUUAUAAUAUAAAUAAUU